GAAUCAUUGGGCGUAAAGCGCGUGUAGGCGGCCCGAUAAGUCCGCUGUGAAAGUCCAGGGCUCAACCCUGGGAUGCCGGUGGAUACUGUCGGGCUCGAGUCCGGAAGAGGCGAGUGGAAUUCCUGGUGUAGCGGUGAAAUGCGCAGAUAUCAGGAGGAACACCAAUGGCGAAGGCAGCUCGCUGGGACGUGACUGACGCUGAGACGCGAAAGCGUGGGGAGCAAACAGG
rnacentral:rRNA from 1 species